CACACCCUUCGCCUCCAUCCUGGGGUAUUGCCUUUUCCUCAGCAGUCCCAUGCUGGUUCUGGUAUGCACCGAGUCUUCUGACUCCACAGUUGCUUCUGAUGGCGCCGGAAGCACCCCAGAGCCAAGAAGGGGGCUUGCUUUUAUCGAUGCUGGUUUUAUACCGCCUGACCCAGGUGGCUUGAGGCGGUUCACAUGAGUAGAGGUAAAACAACCCAUUAAGACAAUUAAAAGUUACAUGCGUUUGAAAGUCGCUGGAAGGUCAGGCUAAAAAAAAAAGUGUCUUCAGGGCUCUUUUAAAGGCGGCUAAUGAUGUUAAGCUCCAAAGAGCACAUUCCACUGCCCAGGAGCAUCACUAGAGAGAGGCCUGAUCCCAAAUUGCUGCCAGGUGAGCUGGCGGUAACUGGAAACCACCCUCUCUAUGACCUCUAUGACUGUGCAGUGGGAAUCAUGCUGAGGAAGGCGUUCUCCCAGGUAACCUGGUCCUAGGCCUUUUAGGCCUUUAAAGGGAAUCACCAGCAGUGUUUUGCCUGGAAACAUAUUGGCAGCCAGUGCAACUGUUUCAAAAGGGGCAUCAUACGGUCUCUCCGAAAAACCCCAGGAGGCCCAUCUGGCUGCUGCAUUUGGAACAAGCUGAAGUUUCCGUACAUAUUUUUUAUUAUGUAUUUAUUGCAUUUCUAUCCCGCUCUUCCUCUAAGGAACCGAAAGCAGUGUACAUGAUUGUUUAUCCUCACAACAACUCUGUGAUGGAGGUUAGGCUGAGAGAGACACGCGACUGGCCCAGAGUCACCCACGCCAGUUCCAGGUGUCUUUUAUCCAGUUCCUCCUGCCCCCCUCCAAGACUGAACUCCGUAGACAGUUCUCAGAAGGUGACGCAGAUCCGGCGGCUUGUGAUGUGGUUGCGGUGGAUGGCGUGUUUCCAUCGGUUGCGAGCAGGUCCGUACAGAACCACCAGUGACCUCGGAGGUAAGUGAAUUGUGACGGUGGCCUCCUUGGAGGGAACUGACCUUGUGGGAGGAGAGACGGCGGUACCGUGCCCAUCGGCACUUCCGGGUCUCUCUGUGGGAGCAAAGCCAUUGAGAUGAUAGUCCUGAGAAACUGUCGGCAAUUCAGAGGUGGGUGUCUGCUGAAGACAGGUGGAGAAUAACUGGAGACUCUCCUCUGAGUCGUAAGACAUGGAAAGCACAGUGGCCGAUAGCAAGUUUAAGCUAACCAGGUGCUCACCCCAGAGCCACCAGUCGUCCAAGUGGGGGUCGAUGGCUGCUCCUCUCUCGGGCCCGUAGUCCAAGUGGCACUGCUCGAUGGGAGAGAAGCCCUCGAGGAUGGAGUGGCCCUUCAUCCGCCUCACCAGCUCCUGGCUGAAACUGGGCAAGCCAGUAAAACCUCCUGCUUUCAGCUUUCGCUUCUUGAAGUUCACUUUGGGGCCAUAGUCCUGUUGGAAAGAGAGAGGAGGACGGGGAUGAAGACGGCAAUCUCUGAAGUUCAAUUCCUACCACAGCCAUGAACUCACUAGGUGGGGCCUUUUUGGUAGUAGCCCCCUGGCUAGGUUAUUUUAUGAUUAAUGUGUAAUUUUAUGCUGGUCUCUGACCGUAAUAAAGGCUUUUGUAUGUA